UAUUAUAAAUUAWGUAAAUUUAUUUGACUGGAGUAUUAAUAGUUAAGAUCUUUAAACUCAAAGAAUUUGGCGGUGUUUUAGUCUUUUCAGAGGAAUCUGUUCAUUAAUCGAUAGUACACGAUUGAAUUUACUUGUUUUGGUUAUCAACUCGUAUACCGUUGUCAUAAGAUUAUCUUGAUGAAGGAAUUUUCUUUAUUUUUUAUAAAUAAAUAUGUCAAAUCAAGGUGCGGUUUAUAAAUAAGAAUGUAAUGGAUUACAAUAAUAUAAAUUAAAUUAUGAAUAUUUAUUUGUAAGUAUAAAUUGAAGGUGGAUUUGAUUGUAAAUUAAUAUUUAUGUUAUAUGUAUAUGAAUGUUUUUGGAAAUGAUGAGUAUAAUAAUAUUGAUUUUUUGAUUGGGGCUCUAAAAUGUGUACAUAUCGCCCGUCGCUCUCGUAAUAAAAUGAG
rnacentral:rRNA from 1 species